UUGCUUUGGCAGCACAUAUAUUAAAAUUAAAAUGAUAUAGAGAAGGUUAUCAUAGCUCCUGCGCAAGGAUGAAGCACAAAUUUGUGAAGCAUUCCAUAGUUUU
ensembl:snRNA U6 U6 spliceosomal RNA